rnacentral:ncRNA from 1 species
CGAUAAAGGCAAACCACUUGAAAGAGUGGGGCGCAAAAUCAACAGGCCUAAACCUAAUGUCUUUUAAAAACGCUAGGUAAGGCGGCUGGAUUGCCGAA